rnacentral:rRNA from 1 species
AACCUUUACAAUGCACGAAAGUGUGAUAAGGGGACCCUGAGUGCUCAUGUUUACAUGGGCUUUUGUUAAGUGUAAAUAACUUAGCGAAUAAGUGGUGGGCAAUACCGGUGCCAGCCGCCGCGGUAACACCGGAGCCACAAGUGGGAGCCGCUAUUAUUGGGCCUAAAGCGUCCGUAGCCGGUUUGUCAAAUCUCUUGUGAAAUUGUCGGGCUCAACCUGACAACGUGCAUGAGACACUAACAGACUAGGGACCGGGAGGAGUCAGAGGUAUUUCGGGGGGAGCGGUAAAAUGUUAUAAUCCUCGAAGGACCACCUAUGGCGAAGGCAUCUGACCAGAACGGAUCCGACGGUGAGGGACGAAAGCCAGGGGAGCAAACCGG